UCUGCAUCAGGAUAAUGGCUGUACAGACUGUCCGGCAGAUCAUUGGAGUUUAGCAGCAAACACAGCUGCUACCUGCACUGCCUGUCCAGCUAGAAAAGAGGUAGACUCUGGAAAAGGAACACAAGAAAAUGACUGCACAUGGAAUGAGCCGGUUUUGGGAGUUGGUGUAAAAUUAGGACCUGGAAUUUUGACUAUCCUGCUCCUGAUGCAGGUUCUGCUGUAGCACAAUUAUAAGGUUUGUCAAGAUGACUAUAUCGUGAACUGAGCUAUCGUUAGCUAUUGUAAAUAGACUAAUGGUUAUGAACUAAAGAGAGUUGUUUAUUGGGAAAUAUUUGAAUAAUAUUCAAAUAAUUGCAGAAAGUGAGGUGAUUUUCUUUAGGUUAACAAAAAUUAUGAUUUAUAUCACAGUUUAAACAUUAUAUAAUGAUAUAAUAUUUUAACAGAUAUAUUAAGUAGAGUUAAACUAAAACGAGGUUUUAUAAAUGUUUUUGAUGUGGUGUAUGGUAUGUUAGUGAUAGAAAUAAUUUAUUUUCUAUUUCAAACGCGCUGCAUUGAUUAAUUAAUACAACAGUGUAAACUAUUAUGAUAUAUAAUUGUGUUACAAAUUUGUAUUAUAAUCGUGUAUUUGACCAGUACAAUUACAAAGUAACUUUAUAGAGAUAUUACGUUUUAAAGAAUGCA